rnacentral:rRNA from 1 species
AAGACUACCUGGUUGAUAGGCAGGAGGUGGAAGCGCAGUAAUGUGUGCAGCUGACCUGUACUAAUCGCCCGAGGGCUUGACCUACA